AUGUCGCUGCACAUGGACCCGCCGGCGCCGCCGCGACGCUCCAACGUCACCAGCUGCGACCUGCACCCGGACGAGGCCUUCACCGGCUUCUGCACCGCCUGCCUGCGCGAGCGCCUCGCGGGCCUCGAGGCGUCCGCGGCCGCGGCCUCCGCGCCCGGCCGCCGGUCCACGUCCGCCAUCCGGUCCCUCUUCGCCCGGCCGUUCGCGGCGGGCGCCUCGUCGUCCGCGGCUGGGGCGGUGGCCGAGCCGCCGGACCUGCGGCGGUGCAAGUCCUUCUCGUGCGGCCGCGGCGGGGACGCGCUCUCCGCUGCCGCUGCCGCGGCGGCCGCGGUUGCCAGGGGCGACGAGCCGCAGCGGCACUCGUGCGAUGUGCGGGGGCGUGCCACGCUCUCGGCGCUCUUCCACCAGGACGACCGUGACCGCGUCCGCGACGGCACGGCGUUCGGGUCCUUCCCGGUCUCCUCCUCCGCCGCUGCCGCCGUGGCGCUCACCGCCGGCGUCGCGCUUCCGCCCCAGCAGCCGCCGCUGUUACCACGGCGCGUGCUGGAGGAUUUCUCGGAGGAGGACAUCCCCGUGGUCAUGGAGCGCGAGGACGAGAUAAUGCCGGUGUUCGAGCCCGUCCUUCCGGUGGACACCUCCGGCGAGAUUGUUGAAGCCGAGCCCAAUGCCGCCCGGGAUGUCAAGGCCAUGAAGGAUCACAUUCACACAGAUCUCGAGUCGUCGGAGCCCGUGAAGCCGCCGCCAAAAGACCUGAAAGAGAUCGCCGGGAGCUUCUUUGGCGCCUCGGUGUUCAGCAAGAAGUGGCAGAAAUGGAGGCGCAAGCAGAAGCUCAAGAAGGAGGCCGCCGUGAGCAAGGCCGCUGCAGCGGCAAUGCCACCGCCGGAGAAGCCAUCCAAGCCAUCGUUCCUUCGGCGGCGCCGCCUCCGAGGGGAAGCCGGCUCGGAGAACGCAUUGGGGCGGCGCUCGUGCGACACCGACCCGCGUUUCUCCCUCGACGCCGGCCGCAUGUCCAUCGACGACGCCGGCCGCAUGUCCAUCGACGACGCCGGCUUCACCUGGGACGAGCCACGCGCGUCGUGGGACGGGUACUUGUUCGGUGCGGGGUCCGGCAUUGGCCUCGGCCGCGCGCCUCCGCCGCUCUCCCGCCUCCCGCCCAUCCUGUCCGUCAUGGAGGACACCCCGGCCGCCGUCGUCGAGCGGUCAGACGGCCAAAUCCCCGUGGAGGACGAUGGCGACCUUGAACCUCCAGGGGGAUCCUUCCAGACGAGAGACUACUACUUCGAUUCUUCCAGCCGGAGGCGCCGGAGCCUGGAGCGCACCAGCUCGGUCCGCCGGCCGUCCUUCGAGGUCACCGAGCCGAAGCCAGCACCCGCCGCAGCGAACGGCAACGAGUCCCCCAUCGCCAUUGGCGGCUCAGAGUUCUACCACUUCCACCACGCCGAGGACCUGCUGGACCGGGGCUUCAGCUCCAACUCCCUGGUGGAGGACAUCUCGGCGAGCCUGGAGGCGGCAAUGUCCGGGCCGGCGAAGAAGCCACCCCGCUGGCGCAAGGCGUGGAGCCUGUGGGGGUUCAUCCACCGGCGAGCCGCCGGGCGCAGGGGCGGCGGGCCGUCCGACAUCGCGGACCGGUCGUUCUCGGAGCCGUGGCCGGACCUGCGCGGCGGGCGCGGGGCCGGCGGGCAGAACAACAUGCAGCGGUGCAACAGCAACCUGAGCGCGCGCAGCUCGUUCAGCAGCAACAGCGGUGGGCUCGGCAGCUCGAGGCGCAGCUACGUGGACGUGAACGGGAACGUGAGGCGGAGAGGGGGCGAGGAGCCGCACGUGCUGGAGCGGAACCGCAGCGCGCGGCACUCGCCGCCAGGGCGCGUCGACAACGGCAUGCUGCGGUUCUACCUGACGCCGAUGCGGAGCGGCGGCGGCGGCGUGGGCGCGCGGCGAGGCGUGCCGGGGGGCAAGGCCGGGCGGCAGCUGACCUCGCAGUCGUUCGCCCGGAGCGUGCUCCGCCUGUACUGA
rnacentral:rRNA from 1 species